rnacentral:rRNA from 1 species
AUUGAACGCUGGCGGCAUGCCUUACACAUGCAAGUCGAACGGCAGCACGGGGGCAACCCUGGUGGCGAGUGGCGAACGGGUGAGUAAUACAUCGGAACGUGCCCGAUAGUGGGGGAUAGCUCGGCGAAAGCCGGAUUAAUACCGCAUACGACCUACGGGUGAAAGCGGGGGAUCGCAAGACCUCGCGCUAUCAGAGCGGCCGAUGUCAGAUUAGGUUGUUGGUGGGGUAAAGGCCUACCAAGCCGACGAUCUGUAGCUGGUCUGAGAGGACGACCAGCCACACUGGGACUGAGACACGGCCCAGACUCCUACGGGAGGCAGCAGUGGGGAAUCUUGCGCAAUGGGCGAAAGCCUGACGCAGCGACGCCGCGUGAGGGAUGACGGCCU